rnacentral:rRNA from 1 species
CUAAGCCAUGCGAGUCAUUGUAGCAAUACAAGGCAGACGGCUCAGUAACGCGUAGUCAACCUAACCUAUGGACGGGAAUAACCUCGGGAAACUGAGAAUAAUGCCCGAUAGAACACUAUGCCUGGAAUGGUUUGUGUUCCAAAUGAUUUAUCGCCGUAGGAUGGGACUGCGGCCUAUCAGUUUGUUGGUGAGGUAAUGGCCCACCAAGACUAUUACAGGUACGGGCUCUGAGAGGAGUAGCCCGGAGAUGGGUACUGAGACACGGACCCAGGCCCUAUGGGGCGCAGCAGGCGAGAAAACUUUGCAAUGUGCGAAAGCACGACAAGGUUAAUCCGAGUGAUUUGUGCUAAACGAAUCUUUUGUUAGUCCUAGAACCACUAACGAAUAAGGGGUGGGCAAGUUCUGGUGUCAGCCGCCGCGGUAAAACCAGCACCUCAAGUGGUCAGGAUGAUUAUUGGGCCUAAAGCAUCCGUAGCCGGCUCUGUAAGUUUUCGGUUAAAUCUGUACGCUUAACGUACAGGCUGCCGGGAAUACUGCAGAGCUAGGGAGUGGGAGAGGUAGACGGUACUCGGUAGGAAGGGGUAAAAUCCUUUGAUCUAUUGAUGACCACCUGUGGCGAAGGCGGUCUACCAGAACACGUCCGACGGUGAGGGAUGAAAGCUGGGGGAGCAAACCGGAUUAGAUACCCGGGUAGUCCCAGCUGUAAACUAUGCAAACUCAGUGAUGCAUUGACUUGUGGUCAAUGCAGUGCUGCAGGGAAGCCGUUAAGUUUGCCGCCUGGGAAGUACGUACGCAAGUAUGAAACUUAAAGGAAUUGGCGGGGGAGCACCACAAGGGGUGAAGCCUGCGGUUCAAUUGGAUUCAACGCCGGAAAUCACU